rnacentral:snoRNA from 13 species
GGGACUGUACUUCUCAGGAUCAUUUCUGUAGUACGUAUUCCUUUGCGGAGACGCAAACUGCUUCACAAAGCACCCUCGAUGACGAGUUUAGGCGUUGUCCCCUGAGCGUGAAGCUUGUUGGGACGUUGCCAAAUUUUUGGAUGCCCUGACGUUGAAGACCGUCAGCUGGCCCUUUUGGGUCGGCUAUGGGGGCAACGCUCUCUGAGCGGG